AGAGUUUGAUCAUAGCUCAGGAUGAACGUUGGCUGUGUGCCUAAGGUAUGCAAGUCGAACGAUUCUUUAUGAAAUUUCUGAAACUUCGGUUGAUGAUUUUUCGCUUAGAAUAGUGGCAAACGGGUGAGUAACAUGUGGAUAAUCUGCCUCAAAGUCGUGAACAGCUCGCCGAAAGGCGGGGUAAUACUCGAUAGUCUUGUUCUUUCAUAAUGUUAGAACAAGUAAAGCUCCGGCGCUUUGAGAUGAGUCCGCAUCCUAUCAGCUUGUUGGUGAGGUAAAAGCUCACCAAGGCUAAGACGGGUAGCUGGCGUGAGAGCGCGGUCAGCCACCAUGGAACUGAGACACGGUCCAAACUCCUACGGGAGGCAGCAAUUAGGAAUCUUGCGCAAUGGGGGCAACCCUGACGCAGCGACACAGCGUGGAGGAUGAAGGUCUUCGGAUUGUAAACUCCUUUUAUAUGGGAAGAAUAGAUGACGGUACCAUAUGAAUAAGCACCUGCUAACUACGUGCCAGAAGCAUCGGUGAUGCGUAGGGUACGAACGUUAUCCGGAUUAAUUGGGCGUAUAGAGAAGCGUAGGCGUUUUUGUUAGUCUUUAGUUAAAUACCACGGCCUAACCGUGGGAAAGCUAUAGAUACUGCAGAAAUUGAGACAGGAAUGGGCGAAUGGAAUUCCCAGUGGAGCAGUGAAAUGCGUUGAUAUUGGGAGGAACAUCAGUGGCGAAGGCGAUUCGCUGGUCCUUGUCUGACGCUAAGGCUCGAAAGCGUGGGUAGCAAAACGGAUUAGAUACCCGUGUAGUCCACGCCGUAAACAAUGGAUGCUAGGUGUUUGGUACAACUACCUAAUCCUUCGGGAUUGGAUGGAAGUAUUGAGUGCCGCAGCUAACGCGUUAAGCAUCCCGCCUGGGAAGUACGGCCGCAAGGCUAAAACUCAAAUGAAUUGGCGGGGACCCGCACAAGCGGAGGAGCGCGUGGUUUAAUUCGACGGCAAUCGAAGAACCUUACCAGGGUUUGACAUGUAUCUGCAUAUCUUUGGAAACAUAGAUAGCCUUCGAGGGUGAUACACAGGUACUGCA
rnacentral:rRNA from 1 species